UACGUAGGGUGCGAGCGUUAAUCGGAAUUAUUGGGCGUAAAGGGUGCGUAGGUGGUUUGAUAAGUUAGGUGUGAAAGUCCUGGGCUUAACCUGGGGAUUGCGCCUAAUACUGUUAGGCUAGAGUACUGUAGAGGAAGGUGGAAUUUCCGGUGUAGCGGUGAAAUGCGUAGAUAUCGGAAGGAACAUCAGUGGCGAAGGCGACCUUCUGGACAGAUACUGACACUGAGGCACGAAAGCGUGGGGAGCAAACAGG
rnacentral:rRNA from 1 species